UCAUUCCCAUCCCUAAUUCGAAACCCUAAAACAGAGAGAGAGAGCUCGGCGGCGCCUCCUCACCUUCCGCCGCCAGCCGCUCCGAUCGGCGCCUCCCCGUGCGUCGCCGGAGACUCAGCCGCUUUCCCCUCCUCUCUCUCUCAACCUCAUUUUCGCAAACCAACUCAAAACCCUACUCCAACUUUCUCUUCUCUCUCGGCGGCAUCGCCGCCUCACCCGCUCGCCGCCAUCUCGGCGUCAACGCCGCCAUCUAUUGACUGGCGACGAUCUCGUGCCUCUGUCGUUGCUGGAGGAUUUGGAAUCGAUGCCGCCGUCGGUCGCCGCCUCUCCUCUGUACAGAACUGCCACCGCUAGUGUGCAUGCACCGGCGGCAGCUUCGGCCUCCACCCCGCCUCGCUCCACCGGCUAUCGACAGGUUUGCAAAGGCUGUGGCUUUAGUGAUGGAUUAGAGGUGUGAGGUUGUCAAAGCUGUCUCCCGGGUACUUUAGAGCCGUCGCCGGAGCUGUCCAGCCGGGUGAAAGAAAAGGCUUGGCUGCCUUGCUGCUGCUUUGAGACGUGGGCCAUGCUAUCCCGGGCUCGACGGCUCGUUCGGAUAUGGCGCGGUGGUAGUGCGGCGUGGGCUCGGGAAAAGAAGUCCAAGUGCAAGCUACCCUAGACUUUAUUUCCUUGAGCUUUUGGUUCAUUCAAGAGUAUUGUAACAUUAAUAUCCCAUCUCAUCCUUUUGUAAGACCAUCAUGAACUUCCAAAGAAACAAAUUUUUGGGCAUUAUGUGGACCUUUUCUUUCGGGAACA